rnacentral:rRNA from 1 species
AGUGAACGCUGGCGGUAGGCCUAACACAUGCAAGUCGAACGGCAGCACAGUAAGAGCUUGCUCUUACGGGUGGCGAGUGGCGGACGGGUGAGGAAUACAUCGGAAUCUACUUUUUCGUGGGGGAUAACGUAGGGAAACUUACGCUAAUACCGCAUACGACCUACGGGUGAAAGCAGGGGAUCUUCGGACCUUGCGCGAUUGAAUGAGCCGAUGUCGGAUUAGCUAGUUGGCGGGGUAAAGGCCCACCAAGGCGACGAUCCGUAGCUGGUCUGAGAGGAAGAUCAGCCACACUGGAACUGAGACACGGUCCAGACUCCUACGGGAGGCAGCAGUGGGGAAUAUUGGACAAAGGGCGCAAGCCUGAUCCAGCCAUACCGCGUGGGUGAAGAAGGCCUUCGGGUUGUAAAGCCCUUUUGUUGGGAAAGAAAAGCAGCAGGUUAAUACCCCGCUGUUCUGACGGUACCCAAAGAAUAAGCACCGGCUAACUUCGUG